rnacentral:rRNA from 1 species
UGGGGAAUAUUGGACAAUGGGCGCAAGCCUGAUCCAGCCAUGCCGCGUGAGUGACGAAGGUCUUCGGAUUGUAAAGCUCUUUUUGGCGGGGACGAUAAUGACGGUACCCGCAGAAUAAGCCCCGGCUAACUUCGUGCCAGCAGCCGCGGUAAUACGAAGGGGGCUAGCGUUGUUCGGAAUCACUGGGCGUAAAGCGCACGUAGGCGGAUUUGUUAGUCAGGGGUGAAAUCCCGGGGCUCAACCUCGGAACUGCCUCUGAUACUGCAAAUCUCGAGUCCGAUAGAGGUGAGUGGAAUUCCUAGUGUAGAGGUGAAAUUCGUAGAUAUUAGGAAGAACACCAGUGGCGAAGGCGGCUCACUGGAUCGGUACUGACGCUGAGGUGCGAAAGCGUGGGGAGCAAACAGGAUUAGAUACCCCCGUAGUCCCUGAGCGGGCUGGCAAGGCGCAU